rnacentral:rRNA from 1 species
UACGUAGGUGACCAGCGUUGUCCGGAUUUACUGGGCGUAAAGAGCGCGCAGGCGGUCGUUCAAGUCGAGUGUGAAAGCCCCCGGCUCAACUGGGGAGGGUCACUCGAUACUGAUCGACUUGAAGGCAGGAGAGGGAAGCGGAAUUCCCGGUGUAGUGGUGAAAUGCGUAGAUAUCAGGAGGAACACCUGUGGCGAAAGCGGCUCACUGGACCAUAACUGACGCUGAUGCACGAAAGCUAGGGGAGCAAACAGG